rnacentral:tRNA from 1 species
GAGGUUGUGGCUCAGUGGUAGAGCGCUUGCCUAGCAUGUGUGAGGCACUGGGUUCAAGUCUCAGCACCACA